rnacentral:rRNA from 1 species
GAUGAACGCUGGCGGCGUGCCUAAUACAUGCAAGUCGAGCGAACAGAUGAGGAGCUUGCUCCUCUGACGUUAGCGGCGGACGGGUGAGUAACACGUGGAUAACCUACCUAUAAGACUGGGAUCACUUCGGGAAACCGGAGCUAAUACCGGAUAAUAUAUUGAACCGCAGGGUUCAAUAGUGAAAGACGGUUUUGCUGUCACUUAUAGAUGGAUCCGCGCCGCAUUAGCUAGUUGGUAAGGUAACGGCUUACCAAGGCAACGAUGCGUAGCCGACCUGAGAGGGUGGUCGGCCACACUGGAACUGAGACACGGUCCAGACUCCUACGGGAGGCAGCAGUAGGGAAUCUUCCGCAAUGGGCGAAAGCCUGACGGAGCAACGCCGCGUGAGUGAUGAAGGUCUUCGGAUCGUAAAGCUCUGUUAUUAGGGAAGAACAAAUGUGUAAGUAACUAUGCACGUCUUGACGGUACCUAAUCAGAAAGCCCCGGCUAACUACGUG